rnacentral:rRNA from 1 species
UAGGGAAUCCUCCACAAUGGGCGAAAGCCUGAUGGAGCAACGCCGCGUGUGUGAUGAAGGGUUUCGGCUUGUAAAACACUGUUGUAAGAGAAGAAUGACAUUGAGAGUAACUGUUCAAUGUGUGACGGUAUCUUACCAGAAAGGAACGGCUAAAUACGUGCCAG